UGAGUUCAACACUGCAGGACUCAGAUCUGUCAGUCAAGCCAGCAGAAGCAACAAGCACCAUGACCCUCAUCACCAUCCUCAUCUGGACGCUGACCUGCUGCUGUUUUACAGGAUGCAGCGCUCAGAUCACUGUGACUCAACCUGCAGUGGAGACAUUUACACCAGGAUCCACAGUCACACUGAAAUGUGAGACAAGCCAAAAUGUAGCAACAUGUUCUGGUGAUCAAUGUAUGUUCUGGUAUCAGCAGAAACCAGGAGAAACUCCAAAGAAUCUUAUAUAUCGGAUGAAUAAUCUCCAGUCAGGAACUCCAGCUCGGUUUAGUGGCAGUGGAAGCGGCUCUGCCUUCACUUUGACCAUCAGUGGAGUUCAGGCUGAAGAUGCUGCAGUUUAUUACUGUAAAAGUAUCCAUGUAGUAAAUGGUGCCAACGUGUUCACACAGUGAUUAGUAGCUGUACAAAAACCUCCCUCAGUCAGACUGCAGACACUCUGAGCUGUUAGAGCAGAAACUGAACAGACUCUGAUACAGACCACUGAACACA